rfam:Candidatus Scalindua sp. BSI-1 SCARTB_contig000190, whole genome shotgun sequence.
AAAGUCUCCCCAAGGAAAACAGUGCCAGCUCUGUAUCCUAGAUCGAGUUUUGGGUCUACAGAGGUAACAAUGUGGGCUAAGCGUAAACAGAGAGAGGGGCAGGCCGAGUGAUUGAGUCUCGUAAUCCCUAAGAAUGGAAUGGCCGACGUGGUCGCUUUAGCGGAAGGCUAUAUUGAUAGAAGCGAAACUGGCUGCUUCUAACAGCAUUUCCGGGAUCGAAGAGCU